rnacentral:rRNA from 1 species
UACAGAGGGUGCAAGCGUUGCUCGGAAUUAUUGGGCGUAAAGCGCGUGUAGGCGGCUUUGCAAGUCGGGUGUGAAAGCCCUCAGCUUAACUGAGGAAGUGCGCCCGAAACUGCAGAGCUUGAGUACCGGAGAGGAUGGUGGAAUUCCCCAAGUAGAGGUGAAAUUCGUAGAUAUGGGGAGGAACACCGGUGGCGAAGGCGACCAUCUGGACGGAUACUGACGCUGAGACGCGAAAGCGUGGGUAGCAAACAGG